rnacentral:rRNA from 1 species
UGGCGAGCGGGUGAGUAACACGUGGGUGAUCUGCCCUGCACUUCGGGAUAAGCUUGGGAAACUGGGUCUAAUGCCGGAUAGGAGCCAUCUUUAGUGUGGUGGUUGGAAAGUUUUUUCGGUGUAGGAUGAGCUCGCGGCCUAUCAGCUUGUUGGUGGGGUAAUGGCCUACCAAGGCGGCGACGGGUAGCCGGCCUGAGAGGGUGUACGGCCACAUUGGGACUGAGAUACGGCCCAG